rnacentral:rRNA from 1 species
ACCCAUAAGACGAGAAGACCCCAUGGAGCUUUAAACUAAGCUACAAUCCAACUCCCGUAUAUCCGCUCAUCAAAUAGGAUUCUGUAUGCCCAGUUUUAGGUUGGGGUGACCACGGAGUAUAAACUAACCUCCAUGAUAAACGAAACUUUUCUUAUCUAAGAAUUACAAUUCCAAGAAUUAGUAUACUAAUAUUAAAUGAUCCGAUAAUCGAUCAACGGACCAAGUUACCCUGGGGAUAACAGCGCAAUCCAUUUCAAGAGCCCUUAUCGA